rnacentral:rRNA from 1 species
UACGUAGGGGGCUAGCGUUGUCCGGAAUCAUUGGGCGUAAAGAGCGUGUAGGCGGCCCGGUAGGUCCGCUGUGAAAGUCGGGGGCUCAACCCUCGAAUGCCGGUGGAUACUGUCGGGCUAGAGUGCGGAAGAGGCGAGUGGAAUUCCUGGUGUAGCGGUGAAAUGCGCAGAUAUCAGGAGGAACACCGAUUGCGAAGGCAGCUCGCUGGGACGUCACUGACGCUGAGACGCGAAAGCGUGGGGAGCAAACAGG